GCUUGGUUUGUAUAUAUUUCUUAAAUUUGUAUAAGGAUUCACAAAAUGGAGCAUUUAUGGCAUUUGUAUAGUCAAUACCAAGUAUUUUAAAAACAACAUUUAUUGAACCAUACCAUGAUGUUAUAUUCAUGUGAUGUAGUGUCUUUGAUUGUGUAUAUGCCUCUUUUAAUAGAGGAAAAUUAUUACCUAAAUUCUCUAAUCUAUACCAGUACAAUAACAUUCCUUUUAUAAUAUUAAAAUAUAUUGGAAAUCUUCCAAGUUCAGAUAACACUGCAGCAUUUGUUGUUUUCUUGUGUACCCCAAGUAUAAAUUUACAAAAUUUUAUAUGAAGUUUCUCACAGGGUAAACCUGAAUAUAAUUUUUCAAAAG
rnacentral:lncRNA from 1 species